UUACGGCCAUAUCAAGUUGAAAUACCGGUUUUCUUUUCGAUCAUCAGAGUUAAGCAACCUCGAGCAUUGACAGUACCUUGAUGGGUGACCGUUUGGGAAUACCAGGAGCUGUAAG